ensembl:lncRNA
CAGAUGUCUCCCUGCUAAUGACAGCAUAAACACGUGUGCUCUGGCCAUCCAGCGAGUUGUAUUCGGCCAUAAAAAGGAAGUGCUGACUCAGCCGACAACCUGGUUGAACCUCGAGAUCGUUAGGCUCCGCGAAAGAAGUAGGUCACAGGAACCCCCUCCUAACGUGAAACGUCUGGAGGAGAGAAAUCCCAGGUGACAGCCCACAGGGAUGUCGUCCUUCGUACAUCUGGUUAACUUCUGUGAAGCCUGAGGGUGUGCCUGGUGUCAGCGAUCCCCCAGGGCGUCCCUGUGACGAGCACCUUCCAGUAUGGGCACAGCAGCCGGGAGUGUGUCCACCGUGGCUCCAGCCCUGAUGGGGACCUGCGUUUGUCACUUCGAAGCUCCCCCGGCCCCUGAAGAUGUUAUCCUCUGUAAGAACUUAAGGCUCAACCUGUUAAGUCUCAUCAAUUGCCCUGAAUUUGUAGGUUAGUUUUGGGACAACUGACUUUUUUUUUUAAAUCAAAAUUGAGAAUCCUGUGUAUUGCAAAUUUCUCACGUUAUUCAGUUUUUCAAAAUUGCUUUUCAGUGAAGUUUUAUAAUUUUUACUAUCUAAGCCUUUUAAGCUGAGCACCAAAGAAUUGAUGCUUUUGAACUGUGGUGUUGGAGAAGACUCUUGAGAGUCCCUUGGACUGCAAGGAGAUCCAACCAGUCCAUCCUAAAGGAGAUCAGUCCUGGGUGUUCAUUGGAAGGACUGAUGCUGAAGCUGAAACUCCAAUACUUUGGCCACCUGAUGUGAAGAGCUGACUGACUGGAAAAGACCCUGAUGCUGGGAAAGACUGAAGGUGGGAGGAGAAGCGGACGACAGAGGAUGAGAUGGUUGGAUGGCAUCACCGACUCCAUGGACAUGGGUUUGGGUGGACUCCGGGAGUUGGUGAUGGACAGGGAGGGCCUGGCGUGCUGCGGUUCAUGGGGUCACAAAGAGUUGGACACGACUGGGUGACUGAACUGAACUGAAGCCUUUUACAUUUUUUUAAAUUUAUUUUUAGAUUUUUGGGGACUCUGGUAAGCAGUAGCUUUGAAGGUGUAUUUUCAUUGGUCAUUACUUGUACAGGAAAGUUAAUGACUACUGAAUGUUGCUUUUUGAUCUCACAACUUGAAUAAAUUAUGUAAUUAGUUCUAACAGCUUUUCAGUUGGUCCACUUCUGAUUUCUCAGUUAGUCAUGGCUUGAUCUUUUUAUUUUCAAACGUUUUAGCCUUUCAGUUCUUU